UCUAAACCAUAACACUCAGUGAAACUUUUAUUUUGAAUGAGAUUAUGGAUGUACUAAACUGAUAACUUAUUCUUUGAACUCAAGUUAGCUAUUUCAUUGUGUGUGUAUGUGUGUGUGUGUGUGUGUGUGUGUGUGUUGGGAAUCCACUCAGGCCUUGCACACUCUAGAC
rnacentral:sRNA from 1 species